UACGGAGGGGGCUAGCGUUGUUCGGAAUUACUGGGCGUAAAGCGCUCGUAGGCGGUUUGUCGCGUCUGCUGUGAAAGACCGGGGCUCAACUCCGGUUCUGCAGUGGGUACGGGCAGACUAGAGUGCAGUAGGGGAGACUGGAAUUCCUGGUGUAGCGGUGAAAUGCGCAGAUAUCAGGAGGAACACCGAUGGCGAAGGCAGGUCUCUGGGCUGUAACUGACGCUGAGGAGCGAAAGCGUGGGGAGCAAACAGG
rnacentral:rRNA from 1 species